CAAUAGCGUAUAUUAAAGUUGUUGCAGUUAAAAAGCUCGUAGUUGAAUUUCGGGUCCCCGCGCUCGGCGCUUCAUUGUGCCGUCGUGGUGUCCCUCCUCGCCGUAAGGCGUCCUUUACUGUGAAAAAAUUAGAGUGUUCAAAGCAGGCAAUCGCUUGAAUACAUUAGCAUGGAAUAAUAAGAUAGGAUCUUGUCUAUUUUGUUGGUUGCGGACAACGAUAAUGAUUAAUAGGGAUAGUUGGGGGUGCCCGUAUUGAGCUGUCAGAGGUGAAAUUCUUGGAUUUGCUCAAGACGAACUACUGCGAAAGCAUUCACCAAGGAUGUUUUCAUUAA
rnacentral:rRNA from 1 species